UGGGGAAUAUUGCACAAUGGGCGCAAGCCUGAUGCAGCCAUGCCGCGUGUAUGAAGAAGGCCUUCGGGUUGUAAAGUACUUUCAGCGGGGAGGAAGGGAGUAAAGUUAAUACCUUUGCCCAUUGACGUUACCCGCAGAAGAAGCACCGGCUAACUCCGUGCCAGCAGCCGCGGUAAUACGGAGGGUGCAAGCGUUAAUCGGAAUUACUGGGCGUAAAGCGCACGCAGGCGGUUUGUUAAGUCAGAUGUGAAAUCCCCGGGCUCAACCUGGGAACUGCAUCUGAUACUGGCAAGCUUGAGUCUCGUAGAGGGGGGUAGAAUUCCAGGUGUAGCGGUGAAAUGCGUAGAGAUCUGGAGGAAUACCGGUGGCGAAGGCGACCCCCUGGACGAAGACUGACGCUCAGGUGCGAAAGCGUGGGGAGCAAACAGG
rnacentral:rRNA from 1 species